GGGACCGUGGUCCAGCUUGGCAAGAUUCGCGCUUGGGGUGUGCGAGAUCGUGGGUUCAAAUCCCACCGGUCCCACCA
rnacentral:tRNA from 1 species